GUUCCGCGGGGCCGGCGAUUUGGCCUAAAGCUAUGUACGGACUGGACUGGUGGCGACACAGAUUGAGAGCAUGUGCUUGGUCUCGCACGAGCCCCUUUCCCGUUCUUGCUGGGCGAAGAACAAGCUGAGCCACAAUAGCAGCCGGGUUGCUUCCUGUUCCGCCUGGAUCUGCUCAUGCCGAUCCCCGGAGCGACUACGCCGGAGGCGUUGGACUCUGGGUUAGUGAAUCCCUUCCUCUUGGUCAAAAUCUAGAUCUAACGAGCUCGCCCCGGUCGCCGGUGCUGCAGAUCAAUCUUGGUUGCUAGGGAUCGAGUGGUGCACGAGGCGCCGUGCGUUUUGGGCGGGGGCGGCGACGCUGCGCCCGAUUCGGCCGCAGGCUCGUCGGAUUCGGCCGUCUGACCGGUCUCGCCGGGCGUGGGUCAGUUGGAUCAAGGCGUGGCUUGGCCGAUGGCGAGUUUUCCGAGGCGUCCUGCAAGACCUUCAGCUCUGGAGGCGGAGAUGUGGCGUCCGGGUGCGCGACCCCUGCCGUCAUCUCGCACAACUCCGUCCAGUCCAGCGGCCGCAGUGGCGCGGCGGAUUCGUGCACGACAUUCAGUUCUGGGGUCGUGGUCCUGCCGUCGGCACGAGUCGGCGACGAGACGCCGGCCGCCGUCUCGAGUUGCGCCGUGCAGUCCCUACGUCACAGCGGACCGGCUUCGGCUAACACCACCAUCCGCGUUGGCUGGAAGCGCAGAAGCACGCGUGCCCCGGCAUUAUGCAUCCCACAACCAAAAGUCGCACGGGCCUCCGUCCUGCGUCAGUUCCAAAACUGAAUGAUGAACAAGAAAACACAACGCAACAGCAGAAAACGGCAACAUCUGAUGGAUGGGUGUUCAAAAAACAGACUUACUCCCUGGUUCAGGCACUUGUAAAAACGGACGCCAGGGUUCCGGUCUGUCCCAGAGACAAACCAUCUAGUCCUUGUCCCGGCACACCUCGGGCACAGGAUCAAUGGCAGCGGGGGACGGGGGUGUCCGAAGACGACGAGCGGAAGAUGAGCUCUAGGACAUCGCGGCACGGCGGCGUCGACGGAACGCGGCAACUCGAGGUGCUUGUGUGCGUGUUAGAAGGAGAACGGGCAAAACGAUUGGUACUGUCCACAGCUGGUGCAUGGGCCUUACAUACAUGCAGCUGGUGAAGUUUUUCCGUUACAGUGUUCAUCACAACGGUAAUAUUGCGUCCUUCAUCCUGCGCCCGCACAGUGCUCUGCAGGUGUGCGUCAGUCGCCCUGACAGUGCACGGUACACCGAAUACAGCAAAUACGCAGCACAGCGCUCGCUUUCGCC